rnacentral:lncRNA from 1 species
UGGGGUAAAGGGAAUAUGCCAGUUGUAAGCUAACACAAAAUGUAGAAAACGUGUCUUUCUUACACCUUCCCUCAAGAUGGGUGAUGAAUAUUCAGCAAGCCCAUCUUGGAUGAAGGAAACAUGCAGAAGAGGGCUUCAAACUGGAAGGAAAUCGUGACAGUGUUGGAUGCAGCGAAAAAUAUGGAUUGAUGUAGUGUUUGGUGCAAUUAAGUGGAGGAGAAGUGUAUGGGAGAGUUAUCUCAGCUCAGAAGGCCUUCCUAAGAUGGAAGGAAGCUUGAGAAAGGAAGAAGAAGUAAGAAUUCAAAGGUGACUUAAGAGCAAAGUGGCUGGAAAACAAUUUUAGUAGCAUAACAUUCAAAGCUCAAAAGUAUCUCUUUAAGGUAUUAGCCCUCCUAUUUAUAGAUGAGGGAAGCCCAUAACCUGAUUUAUUUCCCCCCAAAACCCAAUACAAUUUGUUGCAGAAACAUCUAUCAGAAGAAGAAAUUCCCACGCUGGUAGGUGCACAACACAUGUUGCAGUCCACGUCAACAAUUCAUGCUUCUUUGCAUGCUGGUUUGCACGCUGGGCCACCUAGGUCUUUGGCUGGGCACAAAUCUGUUUUGGCCAUCCGCAAGCUAAAUUGCUUAUCAG